AUUGAACGCUGGCGGCAGGCCUAACACAUGCAAGUCGAACGGUAACAGGGAACAGCUUGCUGAUUCGCUGACGAGAGGCGGACGGGUGAGAGAUGUCCGGGAAACUGCCUGAUGGAGGGGGAUAACUACUGGAGACGGUAGCGCAAACAGCAUAACGUCGCAAGACCAAAGAGGGGGACCUUCGGGCAUCUCGCCAUCGGAAGUGACCAGAUGGGAUUAGCUAGUAGGCGGGGUAACGGCUCACCCAGGCGACGAUCCCUAGCUGGUCUGAGAGGAUGACCAGCCACACUGGAACUGAGACACGGUCCAGACUCCUACGGGAGGCAGCAGUGGGGAAUAUUGCACAAUGGGCGCAAGCCUGAUGCAGCCAUGCCGCGUGUGUGAAGAAGGCCUUCGGGUUGUAAAGUACUUUCAGCGGGGAGGAAGAGAAUCAAGUUAAUACCUUGGUGUAUUGACGUUACCCGCAGAAUAAGCACCGGCUAACUCCGUG
rnacentral:rRNA from 1 species